GAUGAACGCUGGCGGCGUGCCUAACACAUGCAAGUCGAACGGUGAUUACGGACGGAAGUUUUCGGUUUGAAGCCUUUAAUUCUUAGUGGCGGACGGGUGAGUAACGCGUGGGCAACCUGCCCUAUACAGGGGGAUAGCAGCUGUAAACGGCUGUUAAGACCGCAUAAGUCGUUUAAAUCGCAUGAUUUGAUCGGGAAAUGAGCAAUCAGGUCUAGGAUGGGCCCGCGUCCGAUUAGCCAGUUGGCAGGGUAAAAGCCUACCAAAGCGACGAUCGGUAGCCGGACGGAGAGGACGGACGGCCAAAAUGGGAAUGAGACACAGCACAAACUAAUACGGGAGGAAGCAGUGGGGGAUAAUGCAGAAUGGAGGAAAGUCGGAUGCAGCGACGCCGCGUGAGUGAAGAAGUAGUUCGGUAUGUAAAGCUCUAUCAGCAGGGAAGAUGAUGACGGUACCUGAAUAAGAAGCCCCGGCUAACUACGUG
rnacentral:rRNA from 1 species